UUCAGGGUCGUGCGCAAACCGUCAUACCACCACAACUAGAAAGAGGCUGAUGUGCACAAAGGUCAUGGUUUAAGCUCGCCGAGACUCACAUCGAAGCGUUGGUCUCGGCAGGCGGUUAUUCCACACAUACACGUCCGUGUAGCAACAUUUGCGAACAUUCAUUGGCAGAUUACGGGCGACUAUGAUUUGAAUUCCAUUUCUUCACUGCUGAGUUUGCCGCGUCGGAAUAACGGCAUCUUUGGAAUGCCAACGAUGCAGAUUGUUUCGAGACAAGCUGGGGCAGAGAAAUUUGCGAAGACCAUGCCGCUUGGUGGAGGAGAUAGAUGUCCGCGAUGUGACAAGAUAGUGUACUUUGCAGAAGAGCGUCGUGCCCUUGGUCGCAAAUAUCAUGUUGCAUGUCUGAAGUGCAUGCUGUGUGGAAAGUCUCUUGACAGCACCAACUGCAGUGACCAUGAUGGAGAAAUCUUUUGCAACCCCUGCCACCGCAAGCAAUUUGGACCCAAGGGUUAUGGUUUUGCUUCUGGAGCAUCUGGCCUUUCUGUAGAUCUUGGUAAUUCGUAUAACUCAUCUUUGGCCCAAGUUCAAGCUGGAAUUGUUGUAGGGACAAAAGGUAGUGGUGACCUCUGUCCCCGCUGCAAUUGCACGGUGUAUAUGGCAGAAAGAAUAAUUGGUGGUGGAAAGGCUUAUCACAAAUCCUGUUUCCGAUGCGGUGAGUGUUCCAAGUCUCUUGACUCCACCACUCUGUGUCAGCAUGAAAGGGAGAUUUACUGUAAAGCAUGUUAUAGUCGCCUGUUCGGUCCUAAGGGGUAUGGUUUUGCUGGUGGUGCUUCUGGUUUAUCUAUGGACACUGGAAAACUCUAUGAGGUUACAAGAGAAAAUGUAUCUCACCUCGCUCAAGCUCAGGUGCCUCAGAUUGGCAGUGGUGGUGAUGGUAGCAAGGAGACUUGCUCAAGAUGCAGUCAAGCUGUUUAUUUUGCAGAGCGUGUAGCUUCCAUGGGAAAGGUCUAUCACAAAGCUUGCUUUAGAUGCAGCAACUGCAACAAGAGUCUGGACUCCACAACAUUGACUCAGCAUGAAGACAACAUUUACUGCAAAGCUUGCUACAGCAGAAAAUUUGGACCAAAGGGAUUUGGCUUUGGAGCAGCAGUGGUUCACACGCAGUAGUUUUUACAAGUUGAUUUUCUGGAACAGAGAAUAAGGGACACAUAUUAUUAGGACCAACUGUGUACUACCGCUACUAAGUUGCAGAGAACAAAAUGCCUCUUCCUUGCCUGAUGUGAUUUAAUUUUUUUUUUUUUUGUUGGAGGGGGGGAUAGCGUAGUCACUUUGAGCACCAAAUGAUAUGAACAUAAAUAAAAACAAUUGAAAAGAAUCCAAGUUUCUUUUAAAAUUUGUUGGUGGACCACUAUUUUGCCAGAUUUCAUGUUGUAACAAAAUACUCUUUCUGCUUGAUUAUAAAUGUGCAACACAAUAGUCAGAAGAUGGUAUUUUGAGUAUGUUGCUUAUAAGGAGUAGGUUUUUUACCUGGUUCUUUUGCAUUUUAUUCAUAAUUAUGUAAUCAAAAAUAUUGUUACUGAAAGAUACUUUGCGUUUUAUUGUUUAAACUCCAGCAGAUUUUGUAUGUUUACAAGAGCGAUGCAUGAUCUUUUAUAAAUUUUUUUUAAUGUGUACAACGUUUUUAAUGGUUGUAUCAUGACAUUUGUAGUUAAUUCGGAUUAUUCAUAAAGCUGUGCUGGUGGAAGUUAAUUUUGUUUAUCUUGUGAAAAAAAGAUGUCAUAAAGCUUGUUUCUUAGCACUGGGGUUAAGGGGUGAGACCCCUCAUCCCACCAAAAGAAAAAAAUGUUGUCAUAGAUGCAGCACCUUGUAAGACUUUCGCACAUGACCUCACAUCAAUGUAAUUUUUUUUUCAUAUGUAAAGUCUCAUGUUCCUUUAAAAAUAUAAUGCACCUUUGGGUUGUGGUGUCUGCCUAGCUUAUUGAAUAAUGAAUAUUCUUCUUUUCAUUAAAGCAUUAUUUGUCACCUUUUCAAGAUAGUAUUAAUAUUAUCUAUUUAUUAUUAAUACUGCCCAGAAACAUUGUGCUUUUGAAAAAUUAUUUUGAUCAUUAAAUAAAGUUUAUUUUAAUGCUUUUUCAGGAAUUUUCUCCAAAACCUAAGUUGUAACUGUUGAAUUAUUUCAGUGUUGUUUUCCAUUUUCUAUACAUGACAAUUCCACAAGAACUCUGCACUUUUUGAAAUAUUAUCAUUCAGCAACUAAGAAUCAUUUGGUCAUUUUUCUUCAGAUUGUGUGAAAGGGUGAUGUUAGAUUGUAGGAGGGGAGAUCUCUGUGGUUUGGCACUUGCUGGUAAUUUAAGUUGUGUGAUAGAAGUAAAGCUUCAAACGUUUUAAUUUUUCGGUCAAAAUGUAUUUAGUAUACUGUCAUAUCUAGUAAUGACAUAUGUUUUUAUUUCUUAAAAAUUAAUGCAUUUUAAAAAAAAAAGGAAAUUACAUUUUAAAAUGUAAAGCUUUGAAAUUUAUGCAGUUUAUGCAUUACUAUAAAUAUUACUGUGGUGUAGCACUUUUAGCAGGUCUUUCAGAGCAUGCUGUGUCUUCCUAGAACUUUUAUUGUGAAACACUUCGAUGCAGUUCAUAAAAAUUUGGUAUUGUUUCUUGCACUUUUUUGGACUUGGUUUUACAGAACGUUUACUUUUUUGGCAGUGGUAUAUAAGUGCAAAUGAAAGAUGUUAAAUAGGGGCAUGGGUCAGUUUGCUAAGUGGUAAUAAGCAUGCAAGAACUUGAAAACCUAAGCUUCUGUUUGCUAGACUUCUACACAAUGAAGGGCUGCUGCAGUAAAAGUCAUUUUUUCUUA
rnacentral:misc_RNA from 1 species